rnacentral:rRNA from 1 species
UACAGAGGUCCCAAGCGUUGUUCGGAUUCACUGGGCGUAAAGGGUGCGUAGGCGGUCGGGUAAGUCUGACGUGAAAUCUCCAAGCUCAACUUGGAAAUGGCGUCGGAUACUAUUCGGCUUGAGGAGUGGAGGGGAGACUGGAAUUCUCGGUGUAGCAGUGAAAUGCGUAGAUAUCGAGAGGAACACCAGUGGCGAAGGCGAGUCUCUGGACAUUUCCUGACGCUGAGGCACGAAAGCCAGGGGAGCAAACGGG